CUCAAGGGCUGCUGGCUAGCGCUGAAGCCGGCGGCGGCGGCGGCGGCGGCGGGAGGUAACUCGCCCGGGUGACGUCAGGUCACAACAUUCCUUAAAGGGGAGGCCUGCGCACCGUUCCCAUUGGGCCGACGCAAAACCCGCCCGCCUGGGCACGUGACGUCAUGGCGCAGAGUCUGGAUUCCCGGCGUGGGACGCGACGGGGUGGGGCUUCGGGGGUCUGUCACAGUCUCGUGACGUCACUGCCUACCCUCCCCUCCCCAGAUCCGGGUGGCGGUGAACCUCUGGGCGGAACGGGCUGGCCAAGCAGCCGCCUCCCUCCCCAGCACAGUCCUUGGACGGCUCGCUCACAGCCUGUAGAUUCCCUUCGUCGGCCUAGGUUCCGCGGGGCCCAGGCGUCAGCUGCAGGCCUGGGCAAGAAAGGAACCCCGGACACUGAAAAAAUUCUAGAGACAAAUCCAGGUCGCUGAAGGUGAGGUGCACACGCGUCCAGUUUAUGCCUCUUGAACAAACUUCACCUCAGAGGGGUGGAGCAGAGCAGCAGCUGCAGGGACCCCCUCACCUCUUCCUUGGCCCACACCCACCAGGCACUCAUCUGGCAGAGGCACAAGCCCCCAGCCGCUCUCCACUCGCUUCCACGCCCAGCUUAGGUCCCACAGGCAUCGUCAGAACCUUUCCCAAAAGCCCUGAACCUGCUUCUGCCAAGUCAACCUGGAAAAACCUCAGGCCGGGUUUGACAGCCACAGCCCUGGCUGAAGAUGAAGAUGCUGGGCAAGGUGAGCUCCCUGCAAGUCUGGGCCCGUCUCCUCCUGCUCCCUCCUCUCCUCCGUCUCCAGCUGCUCUUAUGGGGAGGGGAGGCCCUGCCCGGCCCUCACGCUGCUCUCUGUGUUCAGUAAUCACUGUCCCUGUCCCCAGGCCAGCCCUUCACAAGGCCCUGGGCGCGUGCCUUUCUCACGCGCUUUGCGCUUUGCUCUGAGAGGCCGCUGUGGCUCCUGCCAGCAGGCGCGCUCGCUCCCCCUCGCUGAUGUCUGCAGCUGUCUCUCCUAUCUAGACACUGAUCCCAGCCCAGGUCACCGUCCCUCCC
ensembl:lincRNA